CCACAGCACUAGCCAAUCGAUCCACAAUAAUCCUCUCUUCCCAGACCUUGAAGAAGCUUCAACAACUGGCCAUGGCUGCCAAAACCCCAAGCUCGUGGUGCUUUAGUUUCCUAAAGGAAGCUCUGAUCCUCCCCACGCGAAACCCUAAGCUCUUCACGCCGGUGUUCCUUGUGUUGGCCGUCGCCACCUUCCUUGCCCGCUCAGUCCAUGUCGUGUUCAUCCAGCCUCUCGUCGACGACAUGGUCAGGUCCAUCUAUCUCAUCGAGAUGAGGAACACCGGCUUCUCCUGCGGAGAGGGUGCCAAGCUCGAAGAGGGCGCCAUAAAGAUCAUGCUAAUCUCCAUCGCCCAAGUGAUCCUCAUGCUGGCGCUUGGCUUCGUCAAGAAGGCUCUCGCCUUCUUCGCGGCCUCCACGACCUACUCCGGCGACCGCUACUCGCUGGCCGAGCUCGUCCGCAAGGUGAUCUGCAAGGGGAACACCCUGAAGGGCCCUGCUAUCACCUUCGCCGUGGUCACCGCGCUCGACCUGGCGUGGACGGCCGUACUGGUCGCCAUGCGUGCUGGUACUGCCGUGAUGAUGCGCGGUGGGCAGUCGCGGGUCCUCUCCGUCCAGGGCCUCGUCUUCCUCCUCACGCUCCUCGCCGAGCUAUGCUUCGCCGUCCUCGCGCUGGUGAGCGUUGCCGCGUCGGUGGUCGACGGGGAGCGCCGCGGCGUGCGCGCGCUCAGGCAGGCGUGGCGGCUCAUGACGCGGGUGAGGAGGAAGGAGGGCCUCCUGCUGGUGCUCCUGACGUAUCUCCUGCCCACCGUCGUGGCUCCGGUGUACCGGGCUGCUCUUGUGUACUCGAGGAGGAGCAUGGCGGCGGGCCUGUGCGUGCUCGCUGGGUAUGCUUUUAUGUUCGGUGCGCUGCAGCUGGUCUAUCUGGCGGCGGCCACGGUGUUCUACUACGAAGCCAUGGAGAGGAAGGAGGUGGUGCCUUGUGACCAGGGGCGAUUUUACCGUACGGGCACCCUGGGCACGUGCCCGGGCUCGACGGCGCGUUUAGAUGAACUCCAGCGAGCUAUCCAAGCCGCCAGAAUCGUUUAACAUGUUGAAAUACGCUGGAAAAUCGCGAAAUAACGUUGGAAACAAACGAACUGCGCUAUCCUUGCCUUCUGGGCCUUUCUCGCUACAACCAGGAGCCAUAGGCCCAUUCACAUGUUUCGUAACAUGGGCUAGCUCGCAGCAGCCGUAAGAGAAGCCAGCUCCUGAAACACGAUUCAGAAUCGAUCGAUUGAGGAAGCAAAUCUUGUUAGACGAGGGACUUGCGAUUCGCCAGAUGGUAUGGAACUGACGCUCCGCGGCACGCACGCUGCCCUAGCUACCUAUCGAUCUCGGAGGUGUACUGGCCGCCGGCGGAGUGCGGAGAGCGAGCAGGCGAUAGGCCGACAAGAUAUAUGGUGAGCGGCGGGGCCUCGACUCCGGCCGGUGACAGUCAUGAUCGAAAGCGCGUGCACGUGGGCCAAAACGGCGACUCCCCCACGAGAAUUAGACUCCUGCUCCGACGAGCACGCGGCCGCUAGAAGAAUUCACAAGUGGAUCACGGCAAAGUCUACAUCAACAGAAUGAACAUGAACAUAAACAUUGGAGAUUGGAGUUUUCUCAUAUAAGCGUCGAAAGGUAUUCGGGAAUUAUUUGGUAUUGUAUCUAAUGUUUUUAUUUACUUCUAUGAUAUAUAUUACACAUGAGGUUUUAUCCAAAUAUGAUACUUGUGGUGUUUA